GAGUGCUGAGGUCAAAGGUCAGAUGAGCAGGCAUCACACCUGAUAAACACCUGGGGCAACUGUACAGUAAAAAAAAAAAAAAACAACAAGAUUAAGAAAUAUUGCUUUAAUUUGAGAGAGACAAAAAAAACUCUUCCGUGUUAAAAUUUGAUGUUCCUCCAGCGUUCUUACGUCAGUCUUUAAUGUCAGGUGAUCCUUCAAAUGUCAGUGUAAAUUGUUGAGUGUACCAUUAGUGCUCAGUCGUGUUUUUCAUAGUUACCAGUGCCGAUGGAGUUUUUUUUUUAGAGCGUCAUAUUCUGCUGGAAAAGUUUCAUUUUAAUGGUAAUAUGCCAUGAGCGGAGGUGUAUGAGUAACUUCACAAGUUGACCAUAGUCUAGAGCGAUGACAUGCUCAUCUACUCCCAGAACCUGGCAGAACGAAAUGUUGCAGCUCGUCCGGUCUUCAAUGAUGAGCCCAAAAGAGGCCACUUCACAGAGCCGGCCCAAGGCUUAAGAAAACUGAGAGGCAGGACAAGAUGGCGGGCUGGACUUGGUUAACUUUAGAUUUUACACAAAUCUCAUUGUUUUGUUUUUCACCUAAAAUAGUAAUUAAAACAUCCAAGAUGUGUUUUGCCUCAUCAAAAUGUGGAAUUUGAUCAGCAAACUACUCAUUCUAAGACAACUAUGCCUUGGGCUAAAUGACUUGGCUUCAAGUACGAUGCCACACGAUUCAGAAAUGAAGGUACAGACUGCACAAACAGAUAAACGACAUGAUGCAUCUCAUUUCACCACAACUAAAGGCAGCGACAAAAAAAAAGUCAAGCUCUCACGAUGAUGACAUUUCUCAUGCAACCCUUUAGCAAGCCUACAUAGUAUUUAUGCCUAAAAGGUUGCAUGAGAAAUGUCAUCAUCGUGAGAGCUUGACUUUUUUUUUGUCGCUGCCUUUAGUUGUGGUGAAAUGAGAUGCAUCAUGUCGUUUAUCUGUUUGUGCAGUCUGUACCUUCAUUUCUGAAUCGUGUGGCAUCGUACUUGAAGCCAAGUCAUUUAGCCCAAGGCAUAGUUGUCUUAGAAUGAGUAGUUUGCUGAUCAAAUUCCACAUUUUGAUGAGGCAAAACACAUCUUGGAUGUUUUAGUUACUAUUUUAGGUGAAAAACAAAACAAUGAGAUUUGUGUAAAAUCUAAAGUUAACCAAGUCCAGCCCGCCAUCUUGUCCUGCCUCUCAGUUCUCUUAAGCCUUGGGCCGGCUCUGUGAAGUGGCCUCUUUUGGGCUCAUCAUUGAAGACCGGACGAGCUGCAACAUUUCGUUCUGCCAGGUUCUGGGAGUAGAUGAGCAUGUCAUCGGUCUAGACUAUGGUCAACUUGUGAAGUUACUCAUACACCUCCGCUCAUGGCAUAUUACCAUUAAAAUGAAACUUUUCCAGCAGAAUAUGACGCUCUAAAAAAAAAACUCCAUCGGCACUGGUAACUAUGAAAAACACGACUGAGCACUAAUGGUACACUCAACAAUUUACACUGACAUUUGAAGGAUCACCUGACAUUAAAGACUGACGUAAGAACGCUG